rnacentral:lncRNA from 1 species
AUGACGCCAACAAAACAACAAACGAGAAAACAAACAGGGCACAAUGCCUCAAACCAAGUUAACUUCCGGCACCGACAGAGAUGGCCGCCUCGCUUCGUGUUCCUAGGAAUCUAUGCAGUAUUUUUUUUUUUUUUUUGCGUGUUAUUUCUUAUAUUGGUACCCCAGGUAAUCUUAGGUUUCAUUACAUACAGUCGGGAGGAACUACUGAAUAUAAGAGCAACGUCAAUUCACCAUCAUUACGACCAGGAAUAUGACUUUCCCGAAGCAGAUCCUGUGUUUUGCCUCCACCCAGGACAAUGGAUCGGAUCCCAGCCGGCGAACCUAAACAACGUCGCUGUAAAAGGGGCAAACGAAGCGGUCUUCUGGUCAGGCUCCGUAGACGGGCACGUCACGCACCAUUCCCUACCAUACUACUCGCCAAUGUCCAGUCUCUUGACAAGAAGGUUGAUGAAAUCCGAGCAAGAGUUGCCUUCCAGAGAGACAUCAGAGAUUGUAACGUUCUUUGCUUCACGGAAACAUGGCUCACUCGAGAGACGCUAUCGGACUCGUUGCAGCCAGCUGGUUUCUUCACGCAUCGCGCCGACAGAAACAAGCAUCUUUCUGGUAUGCCUUAUGAUUAACGAGACGUGGUGUGAUCAUAACAACAUACAGGAACUCAAGUCCUUCUGUUCACCUGACUUAGAAUUCCUCACAAUCAAAUGUCGACCGCAUUAUCUACCAAGGGAAUUCUCUUCGAUUAUAAUCACAGCCGUAUUUAUUCUCCCGCAAGCAGACAAAUCGAUGGCCCUGAACAAACUUUAUUUGACUCUUUGUAAACUGGAAACCACAUAUCCUGAGGCUGCAUUCAUUGUAGAAGGGGAUUUUAACAAGGUUAAUCUGAAAACAAGACUCCCUAAAUUCUAUCAGCAUAUCGAUUGCACAACCAGGGCUGGUAAAACCCUGGAUCAUUGUUAUUCUAACUUCCGCGACGCAUAUAAGACCCUCCCCCGCCCUCCUUUCGGAAAAGCUGACCACGACUCCAUUUUGUUGCUUCCAGCCUACAGACAGAAACUAAAACAAGAAGCUCCUGCGCUCAGGUCUGUUCAACGCUGGUCCGACCAAUCUGAUUCCACGCUUCAAGACUGCUUCGAUCACGUGGAUUGGGAUAUGUUCUGCAUUGCGUCCAACAACAACAUUGACGAAUACGCCGAUUCGGUGAGCGAGUUCAUUAGAACGUGCAUCGGCGAUGUCGUACCCACAGCAACUAUUAAAACAUUUCCAAACCAGAAACCGUGGAUUGAUGGCAGCAUUCGCGCGAAACUGAAAGCGCGAACCACUACUUUUAACAAGGGCAAGUGGCCGGAAACCUGA